rnacentral:rRNA from 1 species
GGAUUAGGCAUGCAAGUCGAAUGAGUAUGUCGCAAGACAUAUUCAUGGCAAACGGGUUAGUAAUACGUCGGAACAUACCUUAAGGUUCGGCAUAACUCCGCGAAAGCGGAGAUAAUUCCGGAUGUUACCGUGAUUCCUGUAAGUUUCACGGUCAAAGGAUUUAUUCGCCUUAAGAGUGGCCGACGGCCUAUCAGCUUGUUGGUGAGGUAAGAGCUCACCAAGGCUACGACGGGUAGGGGGUCUCACGAGGAUGUUCCCCAACACUGGCACUGAGACACGGGCCAGACACCUACGGGUGGCAGCAGCCGAGAAUCUUCCCCAAUGGACGAAAGUCUGAGGGAGCGACGCCGCGUGCAGGAAGACGGCCUUUGGGUUGUAAACUGCUUUUUUAGAGGAGCAAUGCCGACUUGUCGGUAUGAGAGUACUCUAAGAAUAAGAGGUUGCUAACUCUGUGCCAGCAGCCGCGGUAAUA